rnacentral:rRNA from 1 species
UUUAUUAAGUUGGGGGUGAAAUCUCCGGGCUCAACCCGGAGCUCGUUCUCAAAACUGGUAGACUUGAGUAAGGUAGAGGCUGACGGAAUUCUGCAAGUAGGGGUAAAAUCCGUUGAUCUGCAGAGGAACACCAAAAGCGAAGGCAGUCAGCUGGGCCUUUACUGACGCUGAGGGACGAAAGCGUGGGUAGCGAACGGGAUUAGAUACCCCGGUAGUCCACGCCGUAAAUGAUGGAUACUGGACAUUGGUACUCGAUCGUAUCAGUGUCUCAAGCUAACGCAUUAAGUAUCCCGCCUGGGGAGUACGGUCGCAAGAUUAAAACUCAAAGGAAUAGACGGGGACCCACACAAGCGGUGGAGCAUGUGGUUUAAUUCGACAAUAAGCGAGGAACCUUACCAGGGCUUGACAUCCCGAGAAUUCUUUAGAAAUAGAGAAGUGCCUUUAUGGAACUCGGUGACAGGUGCUGCAUGGUUGUCGUCAGCUCGUGCCUUGAGGUGUUCGGUUAAGUCCGUAAACGAGCGCAACCCUAGUCCUAUGUUGUAUAUUUCAUAGGAGACUGCCUUGUCCAACGAGGAGGAAGGUUAGGAUGACGUCAAAUCAGCAUGGCCCUUAUGUCCUGGGCGACACACGUGCUACAAUGGUCGGUACAAUGGGUAGCCAACCCGCGAGGGGGAGCCAAUCCCAUCAAAGCCGGUCCAAGUUCGGAUUGGAGGCUGCAACUCGCCUCCAUGAAGUUGGAA